GCAUCACUGGGAUAGCUCAGUCAGUGGAGCAUGAGGCUCUUGACCUCAGGGUUAUGGGUUCGAGACUCACAUGGGGCA